UCUCUUUCUCUGUUAAUCAAUUUUGAAAAGAGGUGUGUUUAAGAAGAUUGUCUUCCUGACAGGGUGUUCCAUUAAACUCCCUCUGAUACAGUCUAAAGUACACUAUGAGUAUGAGUACAGCUAUUAUGUAAGUCAAAUGCAAUAACACCCUUUAUAAAUCCUGAAAAAAUCCACCUGUUUCAUCUUCCAAAACGGUCGCCUACACGGCAAUGACGGCUACCAGUAGCUGCUUCUGAGUCAAAAAUAAAAACUUACAACAUGGCAUGUUUGCAAAUAACAGUGCAAUGUGCAAGCUGAGGGCUAGCAAAAUACCAGCAAUCAGUGAUUUCACAUUAACACAUUCUUUAAAAAUGUUAUCCUUAAAUUAAAGUUGAAAGUAAUGUUAAAAACAAAACACAAAGCACUUUCAUGUUCAAAUUCAAAGUUUAUCUGAGGCUCUUUGGUGGACAUAACAAAGGGACAGGCAGCAAGCCGAGCUGCUGCUAACGCUAGCUUUGCUUUUCAUGGUGCUCUGCUUGUUUUUAAGUAAUCCUUCCUUCACUUUACAGAGUCAAACCGUACAACAAUGAAAGAGAUCAAAACCAUCCAUACAUGGUUCGGUAUAGAAAAACAAUAUGGGGAAUGAAAAUGUGAACAUCACCACUUACAGUAUUUACCAUAUUAAGACAUGCUGUCCAUGCUUCUGGGCAGGAAAGUGAUCUAUUCUCUGUAAAAUGAGUGAAACUAAGCCUUUAGCCACAGCAUUGUUCUUGCGUAAUCCCUGCUGCUCUAUUCUGAGAUUUGCACAAAACUCUCGCCUGGUCGGCAGAGUGCACGUCUCUCUUUGUGGGUUUGUGGGUGUGUGUGUGUGAGUAACUUCCCAUGAUAGCACCUGCGUGAUAGUUUUUCAGUUAACAGUAAAAGAAUGUACUAUCAUUAUCUUCCUCAUCAACAGUGCUAAUCCAGUCAAACGAUGGUAGAACCCUGAAGUAUAGAUGGAGUGGAUAGCUAUAGUUUCAAUGUUUUAUGAACGAGAUGGCGUGUAUAAAAGGCUGUUUUAGAUGUGUUGUUGUUGUUGUUAUCUGAGCAUCUUUUCCAAAAUAACUUUUUGUCUGGUUGUUGUUCCCCUAUAGUCUGCGGUGUCAUUUGAGGAAGUGGGAUUAAGUCGAUUUUUAUUUUAAUCUCUAGUUCUGCAGGGUCAUGCUCCAUAGUCUGAAUAAGCAAACGGAAGGUGGUACAAAUGAGUGUGAAUUUUAAUUUCUUCCUGUGCAGAAAGCAAUAUAUUUGCUGUUUUGUAAGGAUUUAAUUUGAAUGAUGUAGCAUAGUUUGAAGCCAGACUAGCAGGCAUGUGGUGGAUAAAAGAUAGCCAGUGUGACCCUGUGUGUUGGAAAGGAGUUAUUGAUUUGCCCUUCUGUAACACGCUAUGAUUAGUUACACAAUGUGGAAACUGGAGCUGGACAUAACUCACAGCCUGUUUUAGUUUGGGUUUUUUUUCAAUGAAAUUGAGUCAGUUAUUUUAGGACAAAAGGCGAUUUAUGUUUUUAUGUUCAUGUGGUUGUUUGCCUUCUCUGAAAUGCAUUCGCUUGGAAUGAGAGGGUGUGAGAGAGUGAGCGAGAGAGCGAUGUGUGGAUGCUCUCACUGUUCUGCUAGAGUAGUCAAGGUCACUUUAUGAUGGAGGCGUUUUUGCUGCUUGUGAAUGAAGAACGCUGUGCUGGUCCCUUCUGAUGCUAAGAUGCCUCCCGCCUCCUCCAACACACACACACACACACACACACACACACACACACACACACACACA